UUAGAGGAAACUUGCUUCAAUCCUAAAAAAAGUUCGUACUUUUGAUUAUAUAUACUCCUUUUUCGUUCAUAUCUCAUAUGAUCUUAUCGUAGUGUUAGCGCCUAGGCAAGAAAAAUUGUUGUAGCAUCAACUUGGAAGAAACUAUUUUGGACUCCUUAUUCCAUCUUUCAAGAGAAGUCACCUUACACCUUGGUAGAGAGCAUGCCACAUGAAGAACCCACCAACUCUCUCAAAGAAUCCAGAGGUAGCUUGAAAUUUGGAUAAGCUCGUAAUCUCCAAUGAUUGUUACUUGUUCUUGCAAUAAAAAAAAACUUGCUAAUUUUUUAAUUACUUACGAAACACCACUCUAAAGAAUAAGUUCUUUAGACACUUUUAAUAUUCAUCACGUUUUCUUAGCAACAUAACGUGAUUGAAGAUCCUUGUAUUCUUUGAAAAUGUCAAGUUCUAAAAUCAAUAUCUCUUUUUUUUUUUCUUUUGACACACAUACUUCCAACUAUACCUAUAAAUUUUGUUCCUUUCUCCAACAAACUCUUGUUAGAAUCUUGUGUAGAUAAAGUUGACAAACAUUAUCGCAUAAACUCCUGAGGAAAAAGAAACUUUCCUUCCAAAGACCUUCUAUGUUCAAUCUGUAAGAGACUAGAAGACCUAAAACUUACUUUUAGAUUUUUGCAAUGGGAGACCCAAAUACUAUUCCAAUUGUCAUACUCCCUUCUGGAUAAACCACAAUGUCCUAAAAUAGAAUGUGAUGGACAAAUAGUGAAUGACAUGAUCUCCCCCAAUAUCAAACACUAGUCAUAACCACCAUACCAAAUAACAAGCUUGCUAAAACAUAUAACUACAAGCUAGAUUUUUUAUACCAAACUAGUGACAAAUUUUAUACAUAAACAAAAGCCUUACAGAGGCUAGGUACACAGUAUUUGUUUAGUAUAUAUCAACAACCAGCAUUUACAACACAGUGGAAACACAAGUGCUCCUGGACUCAACCCUCGAACACUGUACUCAAAAGCAAGCUAAUGUACGACCAGUACUAAGUGUGAUCAGAAUCAACAUCAGUAGUCAACACAUACGCUCAAGUUUUGGGAAGUUUUAUGCUAUUUGGAGACGGAAGAAAACAGAACGAUUUUGAAAGCAUGAACUAAACGAGCGCAGUGAGUGAUAGUUUAAUAAAACAUAUUUAUCCUUUCGCAAGACAUUUGGAAACAUGUUAAAAACAAAGCAUGUAAAAUGUAAAUAUUAAUAUUUGUUUCAACAAAAUCUAGCAAUAUCAAACCUCGUAAAAUCUAAAUCAUGUGUUGUAAUAAAUAACUAGAAAUCUUCUAUAAAUCACAUAAAUCCAUGUACCUUCAAAUCACGAUAAUAGUCUAGUUUGUUUGUGGAGAAAUCUCCAAGCAAGUAGUGCCAAUAACCAUGUUGUUGGAAUUUUUUGUCCUAAAACUCGUAGUUUGUAAGCAUAUUCUGUUUCAAUAAAGUUGUUAUUGAGAAAUUAAAUAUUAUAAUCCUAAAUCCAAUAAAUCAAGUUCCAAGGCUAUUUUUUGAAUAAACUUGAACUUUAUGUGUAAACAUAAACGUGGAUCAAGUUCGAGUAUAUAUAGCCUAAAUAGUCUAUAGUAUAUGAAUAAAGGUUGGGCGCCUUAUUUAGAGAAACUAUGGAUGCGACCCACUUUGUAGUACAAACGAGGUGAUCCUGAAUCGUUCAUGUAGAGACAUGAAAGUGGAGGCAUCCUAUGUAAAGUGUUUACAUAAGACUAAACCAUGAAUUAGUCUUUUUUACGUUAUAACACCGUUUACUGUUUAAAACUGACUAUCUCGAUUAUUGAUGACCUAGGUAACUUAAUCUUAAUCCUAAGUUAACUAUGAACUCCUGUUCACACGAUAUUAUCCUUAGAUCUGCAUAGGUGAGGGCAGCUCAUCAGCGUUGGCCCAAUAAGCCUCCCAUUUCAAGGGUAAGAUCGGGUGGAUAGCUGGGAACAUAGGGUACAAGAUGGAAUUCACUCCUACCCGCUUUAGGGUUAGUAGAUAGGUUGUUCUCUUAAGCACUGAAUCCAAGUCUUGAACAAGGGGCCCCACCCUCUCAUUGGCCCGAGAGGGAUUAAGUUUAUAGGUUGAACCUUAAACCAAUUGUUCAAUAGUGGAUUAGUGGGACUUAAGGAGCAAGAUGUAAUCUUGGGGGUAAAACGGUAUUUUGACCCAGCCAAGGUUACGAGCAACCUGUGAAGGAUUAACUUACUGAUUAUGGUUUUAUCAAAUGGACACAAAUAUAUCUAUAGUGAGGGGAGUGCAACUACGGGACUUUAGUGGAAUGACUCGUUAGUUAACGAAUGUUGAUUAACUCGGUCUAAAAGAGUUUAGCUAGUUAAUCUUGAAUCGUUGGAGCCCAUGAUCUAUAGGUCCAUUAGGUUCCCAUGCUAGCUCAUAUGGAUUAAACUUAGAACAGUGUGAUGAAAUAAGUCGAAUUGUUCGAAUUGGGAGAAGAAAAAGAAACCGACAAAUAUAGUGAUAUAGUCGUCGGUCUUCUAAUUAGAAAUAGAGCUUUAUGUUUUACAUACUAUAAGUAUGAAUGCGGAUUCAUACUAAGAAGCUCGGAAUUGAUGGAAUUGGUCAAAUAUAGUAAAAAGUCAAAAUGUUGACUUUUGACUUUUGACUUUGAAAAGUCAAACUUUGACCGGCCUUAUAUUCAAAUGUGAUUUGAAUUUUGGAAAAAUGAAUGCAGAUUCAUGCUCGGGAGGUUGGAAUUAGUCAAGAUGGACAAAAUAGUAAAAAGUCAAAAUAUUGACUUUUGACUAAGAAAAGUCAAAGUUUGACUUUUGACUUGAAAUAUCUAAUGACCAUUUUCCCUUUGACUAAGUUAGUGGAAAAAUCCAACAUUUUGUUGGAUAAUCCCACUAACUCUUAGUGGGAUAUGUGGCUAUAUGAGAUAUAGACACCUAGCCCACUAAGUUCCACUAAUUGUUAGUGGAACAUUAGGUGUUGAGAUUUGGCAAAUUAAUUACAUGCAUUUUUGCAUGUAAUUAGGUUAUAAAUAGGGGAGUUUUCAAAUGGUUGAAGACUUUUGCCUUUUUUAUUAUCCUCCAACAUCUCAACAAAAGAAAAAUUUUCUACCUUCCAAUCCCAUUUUAUCUCCAUUUCUUUCUACACCAAAUUGGGUCCGACAACCCGGUUCUUUGUCCAAGAGGAUAAUAGUUGAGUACUAGUGGUGGUCUCGGUUUGAACUGACAAGAAGGUAUCAAAGUUUUCUGAAAGCUUCAAAGGUAAUAUUUCCUAAAACCCUAACUUGAUUAGUUUAGGGUUACAUGUUAAUUGUGGCAAUUAGGGUAGAAAUUCGAUUCUUUUUUCCGCUGUACAUGUCUUAGUUCUAUCACAUGUGUCCCACGUUACAGCAAAACUCUCAUAAAUAGUGCCCACAGUCCUCUAACAUUCAUGCAGUUGUCCCCAAAGGGCUAAUGCACCCUCUUAUACAACUCAAAGCUUAAUGUAUAUGAUGAUGUGUCCCCAAAAGACCUAGGAUCCCAAACCUCUUCGACCUCGGACAAUGCAUCACGAGUGUUGAGAGUCUGUAUUUCGUAAAUUCCAAAUCCAUAGCCCAAGGUACAUGUUUGAAAAUAUAUAAAACAUUCACAAUAAUUAUAUCAAGUGCUUUCAAACCAACAAUGAAUAUGAAGUUCAUCUUUUGUAAAUAAGUCUUUCAAUCAUAAUAUUUUGAUAAGAUCUAUUAAAACAAGCAUUUACCAAACCAACAUUUCUCAAUAGUUUGUUUCACAUAAACAUAAUCAAUAAAUCAUGCUCACGUUCACAAAACAUUUCCUAAUUCGUCAUUUCAAACAAUUAAACAUUUCUAAAAUAAGUAUAAAGUUCGAAGGGUCACUCACGACUCAAUAGCUCAAACUCAUUGGCCUAUAAAUCCUUCCAAUUUCCUUUUGAUCUAAAAUAAGAUAAUUUAAUCUUAAAUUAAUUCCCUUAAUCCAAAAAUAUGUCAUGGUUACCUAAAGUUUUCGAUAAAAACAGCCCAAAAAAAGUAGUGGCGUGGCAUUCUGGCUGCUGGUGGGUGGCAAGCAGCACAUGUGUGUGCACAUGCCUUCAAGAUGUCUGGUCAAUGAUUGCCUUACACUCAACAAGUCGCGCACGCAUGGCUGCGUAGCCUAGCCUUGUGCCUCAUUCCAUGCAUUCAUCUAAACACUUUGUGCAUGCAUGACCUAUCGUAUGGCCUAGGCACUAGUCAUGUUGCAUACAUGCUAAAACAUCUAGAUAACCUCUUUUACCUUUAAAACACGUGCAACAAUAGUGCCUUGCGUCCUAAUGCUUAACCACCCUUCAAUGUCAACCCAUAAUUCUUGAACAAGUCUGAAUUGAACAUUCAAAUUCAAAAUUUUAUAUCUUUUUAUCCAACCUUCAAAAUGAAAUAAUUCAUUCUACAAACUUGAUAGAAUUGUCUUAAUUAACUUACUUCCAAAUUUUAGCUUCAAACUCUGAGUGAUCUGUUCUGUAGCCUUCAAAGAGUCUUCACUGCUUAAAUUCCUUCGAAAAUUAACAUUUACCUCUUAUUUGAACUUGAAGAACACCUUCCUUGCAUCCCCCCCUUUGUCGACACAACCUCACAUCGUCUACUAGGCUCCUUUAGUGAGCUUUUGCAACUGGUUGAGAGAAAAUGCAUGAGGAAAUUGAAAACACAUUCAAUCUGAAAAUGUUCUAUUUAUAAAGCUCUUUACACGGUCAACCUUGUCACCUCCUACUUGUCGAAAUCUUGGAGUUUUGCAUGUUGUGGACACUUGUUCUCCACUCCACCUACCACCCCUUGAACGUCUAAGGUCUAACAAAACGCCUAACGACUUAUCACAUAAAUCCUCUCACCAAGUCUUACAAUAAGCAUAACGUCCAACUAACCUCUAGUCCAAGUCUUUCUUGUGUGCCACAUUUGUUGCCUAGAGGUUUGUUUUUAAUCACGUGGCCUUCAAGCAUCUUGUCACCUAACUAACCACAAGACCUCUUGCGCCCUUGGCUGCAUAGCUCAUCGCUUAUCAUGCCUUAGUCGUAAAGCUCUCCUCACGUGCCUUUGCUUGUCAUGCGCCUAACUAACCUCUUUGGAGGUUAUCUUCUUUCCUAGCAUGCUUGAUCAUUGCCGCCCUCACCAAACCUUCAACACUUAAAGCCACUUUCUUCGACUCUUAUUCAACCAAUCAUUACAACAACUAACAUUUAAUUCUUAACCAACCUAUGAGUUUAACUUACACACAUAAGUAGAGAAUUUAGGGUUGAUAUAGAAUAGUGAAUCUUGAACUCAUCUCAAUUUUAUUAAUCAUGCCUCUAUGUUAUUAUUCUUGUUGAUCAUGAACGACUUGCUAAAAUUUGUGCAUGGCUUGAUAAUAAGCUUUUAUUGAUUUAAAUACAAAGUUUAAUGAAUUUAACAUUCUAUAUUAAUAAAAAAGACAAGAGAGAUAAAGUUCCAAAUUCUUUUGACUAUCUCAUACGUUGAAUUCAACUCUUUAGAAAUAUUUUCUAUUUAAUCCCUUCUUGAUUUAAAAUAGUUAUAAGAACUUUUUUGUUUUAAAUGAUAAAUGUAGGUAUAUUGUAUAUAUUGUGAAAGGAUGAACAACCCUAAAUAAUAUCUCAAUCAAGAAAAAAAACAUGUAAUUAUAAAGUACAAAUUAUUUGCAUAUUCACAAAUAUUUAUGAAUCUAUUAAACAUAAAUACCUAUUGAUUUUUAAAAUAAAAUGUUUUAUCUGACUUUUUAAAUAAAGUGUGUAACUAUAUUCAUUCAAAUAAUUUUCUAGUUUAUAAUAAAUUAUAGGUUGAUUUAGAAAAAUAAAAUAGGAUCAUAAAAACUAUAUACGUUGAUUUAGAAAAAUAAAAUAGGAUCAUAAAAACUUUAUGAUAAGCUAUAGGGACUAACCUUAAAACAUAAUCCACAUUUUUGUUUUAUAUAAUUUGAUUUUUAUGAUACUUUAUAUAAUUGGAUAUAAUAGUUACUACAGAUUCUUUUUAUAUGUGAAAUUUCCUCUAGAAUUAAAGGACCAAAAAUUAUUUGUGAGAAAACUAGUUUUAUUUAAAUUUACUAGCUUGUAAAGAAUAAAAUUUUAAGACAUUUAGCCAAUCAUGAAUGAAACUAGGGGUUGUUUGGACCUCAAAUCUGAAAUAGGUUAGUGAGAUAUUGUAAUCUAUUAAGCGUUUAGGGCUUGUGUUCAAAUAAUGGGAGAUAAGGGACAAUGGAAUUAUUCACAACUCAAUAGUUACACUAACCGACUUUGUUUCCCUUAAAUGUUUCUAAUGGUGCUACUUGUCAAUGACCAACUCUAGCAAUAAGCAUCUAGACAAAUACUAUUGUCCUUGCUCCUACAACAAUCAUCCAGCAAAACCAACUUUAACAACCAAUUUUAUCGGUUGCUAUCAUGACCAACUCAAGUGAAGACCAUCUUUAGCUAUCAACUACAACGAUCACCUCUAUGUCUAACUCCGAUGAUGACCCCUAGAGACCAACUUACUCGAUCAUUCCAAAAGAAGACCUAUCAUGAAUAAUUUUGUUGAACUACUUGACUAAUCAUACAUACUCAAAAGAAAGUAGAACGUUGAAAGUAUUUUUAGAUUUAAUAUUAUUAAUUCUUAUAGUUUGAUGGUCAUCUUUUAUAAUCGUCCGACAUUAAUAAUACCAUAUGUAGGAUAACACGUGUUUUACUUGUAUUUAUAUGAUACAAAUAAUGAGACCAAAUAUCAUACCAUAUAGUGUAUUUGCAAAUUUUCGAAAAAUAUUAACUAAUUUAAGAUAUUUUCGAAAUUG
rnacentral:lncRNA from 1 species